rnacentral:rRNA from 1 species
GGAAACGGAUAGAGUUGACGUAUUCGGAUUCGCAUUCCGCUGGUGUUUGCGCUCGUCGUCGUUGGCUAGCGGUUGGCCUUCCCUGGUCGGCCUGUUCGUCGGCGACGGCUGGACGUGAGCGCCGGUGUACUUGUGGGUCGUUGUGCGCUGGGACGUGUGCGUUGGUCGUUGGCGGUGUCGGCACGAGGAUGCUCGCUUCGGUGAGUAAAACCGGGCCGGCGCACUCACGCUGGCGGUUCGACGUGCGCGGUUUGGUACACACGCGCGGUGGGCUCGUCGGUUGGCCGACGUUGUGCUGUAUGGCGGUCGCAUGCGACACGUGUACGGCGUGGCGUCGACGAUCGGCGCGUUCCCGUUGCGUUGUCCCGGUGUAAAAGUCGAUCAUCUAUCCGACCCGUCUUGAAACACGGACCAAGGAGUUUAACGUCUGCGCGAGUCAUUGGGCGUUGAAAACCCAAAGGCGUAAUGAAAGUGAAGGUGUCCUCGACGGCACUGAUAUGCGAUCCGAUGGGCCGCGGCCGCAGCCGGAGCAGCAUAGCCCCGUUCUUGUCGCUUGCGAUGGGGCGGAGGAAGAGCGUAUGCGUUGAGACCCGAAAGAUGGUGAACUAUGCUUGAGCAGGACGAAGUCAGAGGAAACUCUGAUGGAAGUCCGAAUCGGUUCUGACGUGCAAAUCGAUCGUCUGACUUGAGUAUAGGGGCGAAAGACUAAUCGAACUAUCUAGUAGCUG